rnacentral:lncRNA from 10 species
CUAUUCUGGAGAGUGUAUUCUUGGAAGAUAAGCAGCUAAGAAAGAUAAUCAAGAAAAGACACUUAGUAAGAAGUGAUCUCAUCACUACAGGAACAAAUAUGGAGUGCUUGGCUUUGUCCGUGGGAGGAAGAAACUGUCAUCCCUCUCUCCCGGCAUAGACCAUGGCUGUGUAUUUCCCUAAUUAAUUUCCUAUUGAAUGGCCUGCACAAAGCUACUUUCUGUUGUCUCUUAACUCAGUCCCCAAAGUGCUGAAGAAAAUCUUAUACUACUUAAUUACCACAGCAAAAGUGAUGGAGAUCCUUAGUAGCACCGAUAAUACAGACAUUAAGGUUUGGAUUACUGCUUUGGAACAUUGCUGUUAAUGAAACAGUGGUUUGCUAGACUGCAACCAUUCGCCAAAUCACAAGGAACAAACUUCUACAUGUGAACACUGUUGUUGGUAUCUGUGUUGGAGAAGGAGUUGGCAAUGAAAGGAAAGAUGUCCAUCAAGAACCCCCUGAAGGGAGAUGACAUUUUUUAUUUCAAUCUGGAACCCCUUGAAGGCAGAUAACAUUUUUUAUUUCAACUUGGAACCCCCUGAAGGCAGAUGACAUUUUUGAUUUCAAUUUGAAGGGGCAAAAUUGAAAGACAUCUGAACAUACAAAAGACAGCAGCUUGAGAUUCUUUUGCUGAAGCCACCUGUCCCACCAUACAUUGUGAAAAAUAGAGGAUGGGUAAACAUUUGAACUUGAGUUAUUCAUUGCUCUAGUCACCGAGGGAUGGGAAACAGCAAUGAAAAAAACAAGGUGGUACAUAGAUAGGACUGCAGUCAGGGAGUAAUAAUGCUGAGCUGAGUUCUAGUGCAGUGACUACAGUGGGGCAGAACCUCUGGCCAUCUCUUCGCCUUAGUCCUCUCCUUUGCCAAAAAAGAGUGCUCAACUCUCUGAGAUCUAAAAAGUCCCUUCUCGUGCAUUCUAUAAUGCCAGAAGAGAAGGAAGGAAACUGCUGCCUGGUAAGAGCACUUGGUUUUGGCACUUCCUGCAACAUAAUUCCUCAAAUCCCCAAGAGGUUUGCAGAUGAGUCCUGAGGUGGCUGAACAUCUAAUUGGACCAGGCUUCCCUAAUAAAAACCCCAGCCAUUCAUUCCUGCCAAGGUAGUGUUUUUACUCCCAUUGCAAAAUGUGUGGAUAAGGAAGGUGAUGACUAAUUUGUAUCAUUUGGGAACUACAGAUCUUGGCACCUGAUCUUGCUUUAAGGUGAGGGAGUCCCAUCUUUAGCUGAAGAUGUUUGCAGAGUUAUCAUUCUCAAGUAUUGUUAUUUAUGCUGGUCAUCCACUGAGGACACAGAGACUUCAACUGACUGCAUGAUCACUAAACAACAAGAAUCUAUUGAUGCUGAUGGCCUCUGGGUAAGGACCUGAAACAAUGGCAGGGGGUCUGUGAAAGGGAAAGAAAAUUGAGAUGUAUGGUUAAUGUAGGAGGUAAGGGUGUACCAAGAGGCCUCAGGAGGGAUCUGCAGCAGAAAGCCUUCACUGAGAGAACCUAUGGAGUUAAGCACCUAUUCCCUAAGUUGCCCCUGCAGGGUUCACCUGCAAAGCUAACAGCAACAUUUUCUAUAGCAAUCUUGUUAUAGGAAAAGCACCAACCCCAAACAGUAGAUAUGACAUCUAAGCAAGCUUUGUUGGCAAAGGAAUUCCUACAAUUUACUAACUUAUCUUGCUUUAUGUGGGUAAAUAAAAAAAUUAAGCCAAGUCUAGGAGUCAGUUAAUCUUUGAGUAUAGACAUAUAUUGGAAUUCAUUUUCUUCCCAGCGUAAAGACAAGAAGGUAUUGAAAAGGAGACCUUGCAUGAGAUACCUAUGACCCAGAAGUACAAUAAACUUGAGACAAACACUGCCCUGAAUUUGCAGAGCAACAUCACAUGUAGACAUACAAACAUAUGUACAUAUACGUGUGUAUAUUAAGAGGAUAACAUGUGCUUAAAGACAAAGUGAUUUUCCCAGCAUGGAAAAAAAAUAAAUUCUCAGCAUGAAAAGCAAACGAGACUAUAGCAAGAGUCCCUUGCAGAAACAAAAUUGUUAUUCUUUUUUUUUUUUUUUUUUUUUUUUGAGACAGAGUCUCACUCUGUCACCCAGGCUAGAGCAUAGGGGUGCAGUCUCCGCUCACUGCAACCUCU